rnacentral:rRNA from 1 species
CCCUUCGGGGUUAGUGGCGCACGGGUGCGUAACGCGUGGGAACCUGCCUUUAGGUUCGGAAUAACAGUUAGAAAUGACUGCUAAUACCGAAUAAUGUCUUCGGACCAAAGAUUUAUCGCCUUUAGAUGGGCCCGCGUUGGAUUAGCUAGUUGGUAGGGUAAAAGCCUACCAAGGCGACGAUCCAUAGCUGGUCUGAGAGGAUGAUCAGCCACACUGGGACUGAGACACGGCCCAGACUCCUACGGGAGGCAGCAGUGGGGAAUAUUGGACAAUGGGCGAAAGCCUGAUCCAGCAAUGCCGCGUGAGUGAUGAAGGCCUUAGGGUUGUAAAGCUCUUUUACCAGGGAUGAUAAUGACAGUACCUGGAGAAUAA